rnacentral:lncRNA from 1 species
CACGCAUUUUACCUAGUCAACCUCAUUGGUUUCUGUACAUCUAAAUUUAUUUUCAGUACCUGUAAUAAGCCGUGCUGUAUUAGUUUGGAAAUGUAUUAUCCAUGACAUGUAUUCUUUCCUCUAGGCAGCUCCAAGAUUUCAUUAAAAUGAGGCAUUGGUUGUAAACCAGAUAUGUGCCUUGUCAUUGCAUCGUUUGAAAUACUGUAUUAAAAGAAGUUGAUGCAGUGCUCACAAAUCUAUCAGGAUUGUCUUGCACAUGGUUGAUAAAAACAAAAGGAGCAAAUAAUUACUGUAUAGAGGUUGACAGUACAUUAUGUAUUGAGUGCACACUUUUGACCAAAAAAUAAACAGAUGAUCAAGACUGAAUUUUCAGUUUCAUCUAGCCCAUAGUCUGGUGGAGGAGCCAGAGAGAGAAUUAGAUUUUUCAAUACUAUGGGAAUCAUCUUUAUUUUGUUUAUCCUGUUUACCCAUAAAUCACACAAACCAAGUCAAAGCUAUCCCUAUGUAGAAUUCUUUUAUCAUAGGGCACUUUGGGGAAAAAAAAAAUCACCCAUAAAACCAUAACACUGAUAGGAGCUUCUCAAGAAAAGGCCUAGGAAUUUUAUUUGUCCAUAAAGUCAGGAUAAACUAGAAGUGUGUAAUGAGCUCCCAUACCUACUAUAAUAGGUACCAUUAAUAGAAGUAUAGAAAAAAAUGAAUAGGCAGGGAGAAUGACUUCAUCUCUCUCCGCUGUGCUUGUUAAAUGCACAUUUCCAAUGAUCACGUUGUGGAGGAAACUGACAAAAUGAAUCCUUCUAUUAAAGGUAAAAAAAAUGGCACAGCCCCAUUUGCUAAGGGAUCAUUCUUGCUCAAAGAUUUGUUGGGAGGCACAAGCUUUGCAUCACCUGAUCAUGGACAGCAACAUACACUUCCAUGUAUAGAUUUCAAAGACUAGGAAGGCUUAUGGUAAAGUGCAUUUCAGUAAGAUAUUCUGUACAUUUAAGUUUGAGAAGCAAAACCCCUUCCUGAGAUGGGAUUAAGAUGGUGGAAUAGAAGGACUGGAGCUCAACUUCUCUCCUAAAAACAGCAAAAUUCACAACUAAAUGCUGAACAAUCUUCAAGCAAAUGGACCGGAAACCUUCAAAAAGAUAUCCUCCUCCAAAGACAAAGAGGAGGCCACAUCAAGAGGUAGGAGGGGUGAUUAUGUGAUAUAAGCAACCCCAUACCUCCCAAGUUGGAAGCCCCACAGACUGGAAAGUGACUGUUUCACGGAGAUUCACCUACAGGACUGAGAGUUCUGAGCCCCACAUCUAACUCCCACCUGUGGGGAUCUGGCACUGGGAGAAAGAGCCCCCCCAAGCAUCUGGCAUUGAAGGCCAGUGGGGAUUGUGUGCAGGAGUGCUGUGGGAUUGGGGGAAACAGAGACCCAUUCUUAAA